GGACCCGCACAAGCGGUGGAUGAUGUGGAUUAAUUCGAUGCAACGCGAAAAACCUUACCUACGCUUGACAUGCCAGGAACCUUGCUGAAAGGUGAGGGUGCUCGAAAGAGAGCCUGGACACAGGUGCUGCAUGGCUGUCGUCAGCUCGUGUCGUGAGAUGUUGGGUUAAGUCCCGCAACGAGCGCAACCCUUAUCAUUAGUUGCUACGAAAGGGCACUCUAAUGAGACUGCCGGUGACAAACCGGAGGAAGGUGGGGAUGACGUCAAGUCCUCAUGGCCCUUAUGCGUAGGGCUUCACACGUCAUACAAUGGUCGGUACAGAGGGUUGCCAACCCGCGAGGGGGAGCCAAUCCCAUAAAACCGAUCGUAGUCCGGAUUGCAGUCUGCAACUCGACUGCAUGAAGUCGGAAUCGCUAGUAAUCGCGGAUCAGCAUGUCGCGGUGAAUACGUUCCCGGGUCUU
rnacentral:rRNA from 1 species